rnacentral:rRNA from 1 species
GUCUGUUUGUAGAUAUAAAAAGUCUAGCCUGCCCACUGAUAAAUAAUUUUAAUGGCCGCGGUAUUUCUAACUGUGCAAAGGUAGCAUAAUAAUUAGUUUCUUAAUUAGAAUCUUGUAUGAAUGGUUUGACAAAAAAAAAUCUGUCUCAUAAUUAGUUAUUGAAUUUAACUUUUAAGUGAAAAGGCUUAAAUAAAUUAAAAAGACGAUAAGACCCUAUAAAGCUUAAUAUUAUUUUUAUUAUUUAAUAAAAUUUUUUAAAUAUAAAUAUUUGGUAAUAAUUUAUAUUUUAUUGGGGUGAUAAUAAUAAAAUGAUUAUUAACUGUUAAUUAUUAAAACAAAAAUAAAUGAAUAUUAAAGAUUUAGUAAAUGAUCCUGAUAUUAGAGAUUAAAAGUUUAAGUUACUUUAGGGAUAACAGCGUUAUUUUUUUUGAGAGUUCUUAUCGAAAAAAAAGUUUGCGACCUCGAUGUUGAAUUAAAAUAUCUAUAUAAUUGUAGUAGUUA